rnacentral:miRNA from 1 species
UGACAAUUUCCGAGUUAGGCCA